AGUGAACGCUGGCGGUAGGCCUAACACAUGCAGGUCGAACGGCAGCACAGUAAGAGCUUGCUCUUACGGGUGGCGAGUGGCGGACGGUUGAGGAAUACAUCGGAAUCUACUUUUUCGUGGGUGAUAACGUAGGGAAACUUACGCUAAUACCGCAUACGACCUACGGGUGAAAGCAGGGGAUCUUCGGACCUUGCGCGAUUGAAUGAGCCGAUGUCGGAUUAGCUAGUUGGCGGGGUAAAGGCCCACCAAGGCGACGAUCCGUAGCUGGUCUGAGAGGAUGAUCAGCCACACUGGAACUGAGACACGGUCCAGACUCCUACGGGAGGCAGCAGUGGGGAAUAUUGGACAAUGGGCGCAAGCCUGAUCCAGCCAUACCGCGUGGGUGAAGAAGGCCUUCGGGUUGUAAAGCCCUUUUGUUGGGAAAGAAAAGCAGCAGGUUAAUACCCCGCUGUUCUGACGGUACCCAAAGAAUAAGCACCGGCUAACUUCGUG
rnacentral:rRNA from 1 species